CAUUAUAGAAACCUUAGCAUGUGAGUCAGGAUCAGAGAGAAAAGCGUGAGCCUGGCCGAGGGUGGGGGCGGGGAGGGCGUAAAGGCUGCGUGGGGGGCAAGGAACCGAGACAGAAGCCCCCUGCCAGUGAAUCCCCGCUUUGCCCCGAGGGUUUCUCUCGCCGGGACCGCGGAGCCCCUUGCCCUCUCUUUAGCUGCAGGGGACGGUGGGGGGUGGGGUGGGGGGCAGCUCAUCCGAAGGGGGAAGCCGCACCCACACCCGCGGGUUUCUCCGCCGUGUCCUUGCCAGGCUGGUCCCUCUGAACCAGGAGUCCCCGACUCCCGAGUCAGGACCUGGAGCUGUCCCUUUGCAAAGUCAGAGGAGAUAAGGCCUUGGCUCCCAGUGCCCGGGGAGAAGAUGGACCCGAACUGUCAUCUGACUCCUCGUUGUGAAACCUGCAGAUGUAAUCCAUGUACCCACUGAGCUGCCUAAGAACGAGGCUACUUCCUGUCUGCAUCCCUUCAGCAGACUGCCUGCCAUACCCAUCACUUUCUGGUUUAACGCUUGCUCAAUAGUCAAACCGUUUUCUUUCUCUUCUACCAUCAUGGAGGAGAGGUUUUCGGCCUUAGGAGCAGAUUUUGU